ACGGAAGGCAGCAGUAGGGAAUAUUGCACAAUGGGGGGAACCCUGAUGCAGCAACGCCACGUGUGGGAAGAAGCAUUUCGGUGUGUAAACCACUGUCGUGAGGGAAUAAUGCUCGCUCUCGGGCGAGUUGAAUGUACCUCGAAAGGAAGCACCGGCAAACUUCGUGCCAGCAGCCGCGGUAAUACGUAGGGGGCAAGCGUUAUCCGGAUUUACUGGGUGUAAAGGGAGCGUAGACGGCUUUGCAAGUCUGAAGUGAAAGCCCGGGGCUCAACCCCGGAACUGCUUUGGAAACUGUAGAGCUAGAGUGCAGGAGAGGUAAGUGGAAUUCCUAGUGUAGCGGUGAAAUGCGUAGAUAUUAGGAGGAACACCAGUGGCGAAGGCGGCUUACUGGACUGUAACUGACGUUGAGGCUCGAAGGCGUGGGGAGCAAACAGGAUUAGAUACCCUGGUA
rnacentral:rRNA from 1 species